rnacentral:rRNA from 1 species
UGGGGAGUAUUGGACAAUGGGCGAAAGCCUGAUCCAGCCAUGCCGCAUGAGUGAAGAAGGCCUCUGGGUUGUAAAGCUCUUUUAGUGAGGAAGAUAAUGACGGUACUCACAGAAGAAGUCCUGGCUAACUCCGUGCCAGCAGCCGCGGUAAUACGGAGAGGGCUAGCGUUAUUCGGAAUUAUUGGGCGUAAAGGGCGCGUAGGCUGGUUAGUAAGUUAAAAGUGAAAUCCCGAGGCUUAACCUUGGAACUGCUUUUAAAACUGCUAACCUAGAGAUUGAAAGAGGAUAGAGGAAUUCCUAGUGUAGAGGUGAAAUUCGUAAAUAUUAGGAGGAACACCAGUGGCGAAGGCGUCUAUCUGGUUCAAAUCUGACGCUGAGGCGCGAAGGCGUGGGGAGCAAACA